rnacentral:lncRNA from 1 species
CCAUAGGGGGUAUGACAGCGACUAACAGCGUUCUAACAGAUCCAGACGGAUCCAAACAGGGUUUAAACCUCGUUUAAUAGUGCUGUGUGUGAAGUGCUCACCUAUCUUUAGGGGAACAACGUUGCAAUGCGAGAGCACAAGCGGCUCAUGGGGGCAGCAAUGCUUUGAUUGGGUGGGACAGGCUGCGUGUGUUGACCGGGGAGUAAGAUUAUGCCGUACCUCGGGGUGCACUACAUACAGGCCCAGGCAGCAUUUCACUGCCUGAACGGAGCAACGUUGCUGCAGUUAACUGUUGGCCUCGCACUCUGGGAACCGGCUUCCGCUGGGGGGAAAGUGAGGAAGCGAGCCGCAUUUGGCCCUCGCCGCAAUGUGCCGCAGUAAGAAGGUUGCUGCGCCUAAGCCUUGUAUGGCCCUAUAUAUCACAUACUGGAGUAUCCUGGGCUUAUCACGGGAUUCGCAUCCACCGAUUGGUCCUUUCUGAAGUCGUGCUAUCAUAUAUACACUUUUC